CUGCGGUAUUUUGACCGUGCUAAGGUAGCAUAAUCAAUUGUUUUUUAAUUGAAAACUAGUAUGAACGGUUUAAUUUACUUAAUUAGUUUGUAAUUUUUAAUAGUAAGUUAAAUAUAAAGUAAGAAUUCUUUAAUAAAUUAGGGGACGAUAAGACCCUAAAAGCUUUAUGAUCGGCAUUUAAUUGGUGAUAGCGGUGUUAUUAAUUCACUGGGGCAGUGAGUUUAGGUAUAUUUAAGUAUAAUUAAAAGCUCCUUUAAAUAAAGAUUUCAUGUAUAAGUUACUUUAGGGAUAACAGUGCAAUAUAUU
rnacentral:rRNA from 1 species